CCCCUCUCAGGGUUGCACCUGAAGAGUUUCCAGUACUCUACCAGUCUCAACUACCAGAGGGAGAGUCGAGCAGAGGCCUGACCAUCCCAUUCCAAUCCUAGCUUGGGCAGUGGCUAGCAAGUGGAAGGCAAUCUGCUACAAGU